UAUUGCACAAUGGGCGAAAGCCUGAUGCAGCAACGCCGCGUGAGUGAUGAAGGCCUUCGGGUUGUAAAGCUCUGUCUUCUGGGACGAUAAUGACGGUACCAGAGGAGGAAGCCACGGCUAACUACGUGCCAGCAGCCGCGGUAAUACGUAGGUGGCAAGCGUUGUCCGGAUUUACUGGGCGUAAAGGAUGCGUAGGCGGAUACUUAAGUCAGAUGUGAAAAUCCCGGGCUUAACUUGGGAACUGCAUUUGAAACUGGGUAUCUAGAGUGCGGGAGAGGACAGUGGAAUUCCUAGUGUAGCGGUGAAAUGCGUAGAGAUUAGGAAGAACACCAGUGGCGAAGGCGACUUUCUGGACCGUAACUGACGCUGAGGCAUGAAAGCGUGGGGAG
rnacentral:rRNA from 1 species